rnacentral:rRNA from 1 species
UACAGAGGGGGCAAGCGUUGUUCGGAAUUACUGGGCGUAAAGGGCGCGUAGGCGGCCUUCUAAGUCGAACGUGAAAUCCCCGGGCUCAACCCGGGAACUGCGUCCGAUACUGGAAGGCUUGAAUCCGGGAGAGGGAUGCGGAAUUCCAGGUGUAGCGGUGAAAAUGCGUAGAUAUCUGGAGGAACACCGGUGGCGAAGGCGGCAUCCUGGACCGGCAUUGACGCUGAGGCGCGAAAAGCCCAGGGGGAGCAAACG